GCAAAUCCGCUUUGAUAAUGCUGGGAUGUGAUGGGGAGCGAAAUUUAGUAGCGAAGUAGCUGAUUUCACACUGUCAAGAAAAGUCUCUAUCGAGGUUAAAGGUACCCGUACCGCAAACCGACACAGGUGGGUGAGGAGAGUAUCCUAAGGCCAGCGAGAGAACUGUUGUUAAGGAACUCGGCAAAAUGACCCCGUAACUUAGGGAUAAGGGGUGCCACCAUCCGGUGGCCGCAGAGAAUAGGCCCAAGCGACUGUUUACCAAAAACAUAGGUUUCUGCUAAGUCGCAAGACGAUGUAUAGGAGCUGACGCCUGCCCGGUGCUGGAAGGUUAAGGGGAUCUGUUAGAGCAAUCGAAGCAGUGAACUUAAGCCCCAGUAAACGGCGGCCGUAACUAUAACGGUCCUAAGGUAGCGAAAUUCCUUGUCGGGUAAGUUCCGACCCGCACGAAAGGCGUAACGAUUUGGGCACUGUCUCAACAACAGACUCGGUGAAAUUGUAAUUCCGGUGAAGAUGCCGGAUACCUGCGACAGGACGGAAAGACCCCAUGGAGCUUUACUGUAGCUUGACAUUGGGUCUUGGUACUACAUGUACAGGAUAGGUGGGAGGCUUUGAAACCAGGACGCCAGUUUUGGCGGAGCCAUCCUUGGGAUACCACCCUUGUAGUACUGGGACUCUAACCAUAGGCCAUGAAUCUGGUCUUGGGACACUGUCAGGUGGGCAGUUUGACUGGGGCGGUCGCCUCCCAAAAGGUAACGGAGGCGCUCAAAGGUUCUCUCAGUACGGUCGGAAAUCGUACGUAGAGUGUAAAGGCAAAAGAGAGCUUGAUUGCAAGACAUACAGGUCGAGCAAGGAUGAAAAUCGGACUUAGUGAUCCGGUGGUUCUGCGUGGAAGGGCCAUCGCUCAACGGAUAAAAGCUACCCUGGGGAUAACAGGCUUAUCUCCCCCAAGAGUCCACAUCGACGGGGAGGUUUGGCACCUCGAUGUCGGCUCAUCACAUCCUGGGGCUGUAGUAGGUCCCAAGGGUUGGGCUGUUCGCCCAUUAAAGUGGUACGCGAGCUGGGUUCAGAACGUCGUGAGACAGUUCGGUCCCUAUCCGUCGCAGGCGUAGGAAAUUUGAGAAGACCUGUCCUUAGUACGAGAGGACCGGGAUGGACG
rnacentral:rRNA from 1 species